rnacentral:rRNA from 1 species
GACGAACGCUGGCGGCGUGCUUAACACAUGCAAGUCGAACGAAGGGGCGAACGGGUGAGUAACGCGUAAUCAACCUGUCCUUCAGAGGGGGACAACAGUUGGAAACGACUGCUAAUACCGCAUACUGAAGGAGGGGAUUGCGUCUGAUUAGCUAGUUGGAGGGUUACCGGCCCACCAAGGCGAUGAUCAGUAGCCGGACUGAGAGGAUGAACGGCCACAUUGGGACUGAGACACGGCCCCGACUCCUACGGGAGGCAGCAGUGGGGAAUUUGCCGGAAUGGACGAAAGUCUGACGGAGCAACGCCGCGUGAGGGAUGACGGCCGUCGGGUUGUAAAGCUCUGUUAAUCGGGACGCGGUACCGGAAUAGAAAGCCACGGCUAACUACGUGCCAGCAGCCGCGGUAAUUC